UGAGAUAGUAGUUGCUU
rnacentral:miRNA from 1 species